rnacentral:rRNA from 1 species
UGAGUAAUGCAUCGGAACGUGCCAUUGAGCGGGGGAUAACGUAGCGAAAGUUGCGCUAAUACCGCAUAUUCUGUGAGCAGGAAAGCAGGGGACCGCAAGGCCUUGCGCUCUUUGAGCGGCCGAUGUCAGAUUAGCUAGUUGGUGAGGUAACGGCUUACCAAGGCGACGAUCUGUAGCGGGUCUGAGAGGAUGAUCCGCCACACUGGAACUGAGACACGGUCCAGACUCCUACGGGAGGCAGCAGUGGGGAAUUUUGGACAAUGGGCGCAAGCCUGAUCCAGCCAUGCCGCGUGAGUGAAGAAGGCCUUCGGGUUGUAAAGCUCUUUCGGCCGGGAAGAAAUCGCAUGGGUUAAUACCCUGUGUGGAUGACGGUACCGGAAUAAGAAGCACCGGCUAACUACGUG